AGUGAACGCUGGCGGUAGGCCUAACACAUGCAAGUCGAACGGCAGCACAGUAAGAGCUUGCUCUUACGGGUGGCGAGUGGCGGACGGGUGAGGAAUACAUCGGAAUCUACUUUUUCGUGGGGGAUAACGUAGGGAAACUUACGCUAAUACCGCAUACGACCUACGGGUGAAAGCAGGGGAUCUUCGGACCUUGCGCGAUUGAAUGAGCCGAUGUCGGAUUAGCUAGUUGGCGGGGUGAAGGCCCACCAAGGCGGCGAUCCGUAGCUGGUCUGAGAGGAUGAUCAGCCACACUGGAACUGAGACACGGUCCAGACUCCUACGGGAGGCAGCAGUGGGGAAUAUUGGACAAUGGGCGCAAGCCUGAUCCAGCCAUACCGCGUGGGUGAAGAAGGCCUUCGGGUUGUAAAGCCCUUUUGUUGGGAAAGAAAGGCAGCAGGUUAAUACCCCGCUGUUCUGACGGUACCCAAAGAAUAAGCACCGGCUAACUUCGUG
rnacentral:rRNA from 1 species